CGCAGAGCCGCAGGACUAACCUGGCUUGCGCCCUGCAGCCCCGGGCUCGCCCGGCGGCCCCGCCCCCUCCCCUGCCGGGGCUUUUCCUGCGGAGCUCAGGAAGCCGGCCUAGCACAGCCUCGGGACUUGGGCUCCGCUCCCAGGGAGGCCGGCGCGGGGCCGCUGGGACAGGGGUUGUCGGCGCCGCUGGGGGCCCGCAGCCAGCCCUCGGCCCGGGCCGGAGCUUCAGUUCAGGUCGGCGCUCCAGGGGUCUUUGUUGGCCGCGACUGAGGGAGCGGGAGCCGGGGGAGGAGCUGGGGAGGCGGCGGCUGGAGCCGGAGAGUGGGAGCCAGCGAGCGGAGUAGGGAGCGAGCGCGCGGAGUUGGGAGCGAGGAGGGUGGGAGGGAGGAGAAAAAGUAAAUAGGAGAGAGCGAAACAAGGCUGAACAGGCAGACGGGCGGGCAUUAGAGCCAGCUGCUGCUGCUGGGGGAGAGCGGGAGUUCAGGCAGCUCGCACCCCAGCCCCGGGCCAGGGCCACAUCCAGACAGCAGGCGGCCAGCGCCCUGGGGAAGCGGUACCGUGGGGGAGCCGGCAGCAGGCCCUCCGCGCGCCUCCGCCUGAGGGAGGCUCGGCGUCCUCUGCCCCAGCCCUGCCGCCCAGCGCCUGCCCUCGAAGCCCCGCGGCCGCCCGCGCCCUCCUCCCAUCAGUGGCCUAGCAGCCCUCGGCCCAAGGCUUCUCCGGCCCCUGGCUGCCCGCGGACGCCCUCCCACAGUCAUGAACCCCCAUGAGUGAGCAGCGGAGGAAGGAGGAGCGGCCGACUCGGACGUGGACGGCUUUUUUCGGACAGGUUGGCACGGAAAUCCAUCUGCUCGGCUGGGAUCUCCUUCAGGUCGUCUUCCGAGAGGGUCUUGGUACUCACCUUCUUCCCCAGGAGGUCCCGGAAGUCCAGCUGCUCCACCUCCUGCUGGCGGAUCGCCUCCUCAGUGUGCUGCCUCGUCUCCACACGCCUCUUCAGCACCCCUCGCACGUCCUCGCCGUCUUCCUCCUCUGGCCAACCCUGCCCUCUUGCUGGCCAGCCAGGCCUCAGGGUCCCAUAGCGGUCACUACCACCACCAUCAGCACCAACUCCUCCACCACAGAGGCCCUCACAGCUGGCAGGCUCCCUCCCCCUGCAACCAGUGAAGGGAGAAAGGAAAGUAGCAGGAGGAAAAGGGGCUGGCUCUUAUUUAAAAAGAAGAUGAAAAACAGAAUCUCUGAACAACAGCUAAGGCAGGCAUCCAGGAGUAGGAAUACUUUUCUUAGAACACAGCCCAGAUGUAAACAUCAGGAGCAGACGCUCAGAUGGCUGAUUUACCCCAGCUGGACUCCUCUGAGGCUUUGGCAGUGGCCAGCCCUGUGCCCCAAGCUGGAGUAAGCCGACUCUCCCCAUGGGGGAAGCAGUUCUGGAGGUUGGAGGUCUGAGAUCAAGGUGCCAGCUGAUUUGGUUCCUGAUGAGGGCUGUCUUCCUCGCAAACAGCUGCUUUUUUCCUGUGUCCUUACAUGGCAGAGAGAAAGUGUACAUGUGUGAGUGAGCUCACCUCUCAAAGGCCCCAUCUCCAAAUACCUUCACAUUGAAGCUCCUCCAACUCCCAGACUGUGUGGUUCUGCACAACAGUGAAGAAAAUAUUGAGGAACCGAAACAAGCUGAGGCAGAUAUUUCAUGUCAGGCCUCUGAGCCCAAGCUAAG